rnacentral:rRNA from 1 species
GACGAACGCUGGCGGCGUGCCUAAUACAUGCAAGUAGAACGCUGAAGAGAGGAGCUUACUCUUCUUGGAUGAGUUGCGAACGGGUGAGUAACGCGUAGGUAACCUGCCUUGUAGCGGGGGAUAACUAUUGGAAACGAUAGCUAAUACCGCAUAACAAUGGAUGACACAUGUCAUUUAUUUGAAAGGGGCAAUUGCUCCACUACAAGAUGGACCUGCGUUGUAUUAGCUAGUAGGUGAGGUAAUGGCUCACCUAGGCGACGAUACAUAGCCGACCUGAGAGGGUGAUCGGCCACACUGGGACUGAGACACGGCCCAGACUGCUACGGGAGGCAGCAGUAGGGAAUCUUCGGCAAUGGGGGCAACCCUGACCGAGCAACGCCGCGUGAGUGAAGAAGGUUUUCGGAUCGUAAAGCUCUGUUGUAAGUCAAGAACGGGUGUGAGAGUGGAAAGUUCACACUGUGACGGUAGCUUACCAGAAAGGGACGGCUAACUACGUG